GGCGAACGGGUGAGUAACACGUGGGCAAUCUGCCCUUCACUCUGGGACAAGCCCUGGAAACGGGGUCUAAUACCGGAUACGACCUGCCGAGGCAUCUUGGCGGGUGGAAAGCUCCGGCGGUGAAGGAUGAGCCCGCGGCCUAUCAGCUUGUUGGUGAGGUAGUGGCUCACCAAGGCGACGACGGGUAGCCGGCCUGAGAGGGCGACCGGCCACACUGGGACUGAGACACGGCCCAGACUCCUACGGGAGGCAGCAGUGGGGAAUAUUGCACAAUGGGCGAAAGCCUGAUGCAGCGACGCCGCGUGAGGGAUGACGGCCUUCGGGUUGUAAACCUCUUUCAGCAGGGAAGAAGCGCAAGUGACGGUACCUGCAGAAGAAGCGCCGGCUAACUACGUGCCAGCAGCCGCGGUAAUACGUAGGGCGCAAGCGUUGUCCGGAAUUAUUGGGCGUAAAGAGCUCGUAGGCGGCUUGUCGCGUCGGUUGUGAAAGCCCGGGGCUUAACCCCGGGUCUGCAGUCGAUACGGGCAGGCUAGAGUGUGGUAGGGGAGAUCGGAAUUCCUGGUGUAGCGGUGAAAUGCGCAGAUAUCAGGAGGAACACCGGUGGCGAAGGCGGAUCUCUGGGCCAUUACUGACGCUGAGGAGCGAAAGCGUGGGGAGCGAACAGGAUUAGAUACCCUGGU
rnacentral:rRNA from 1 species